rnacentral:lncRNA from 9 species
AUGCCUAUUGGGCAGGGUGAGCAAAACGGGAGCCACCGUGGGUCCUUCAAUACUCAGCAUAUAGGUGUAAAGACCACAGUGCUUCCUAAGAGUAUUCUGGAAAAAAAAAAAAAGGAAGCUCUUAAUCCACCUUGCAAAGGCAGCUCAUUCUUCACACAUCUUGAGGUGCCCACAACAGAGAUGAAAACCAUGUGAGAUUACUGGAUGGUACGGAAACAGCGAUGUGUAUUCAAGGUUUCGAGGAAGCAACAGCUUAUGCCUACUUAGCAAUGCAAAGUACAUCCUGUCAAUUUUCUGGAAAGAAGACUGGAAUUUGAGUAAUCUUAUACUAUAGGCUGACUUUCAGGAUUCCUCAUUUUGAAAAGAAUGAGAAUGGGAAACUAUCCAGAACCAGAGCUCUUUGCAAUAAUGCUGGGGGAAAAAAAAAAGAAGCUGAAACUUACCUUCCCAUCUUCUUUCAUGCAAGACACCCCCACUCGGCAACUCCUCUGAGUUCAGAGCUUCCCAGAUAACAGCCAGAAGAGAGGAAAAACUAGUAACUCCUUUCCUUUAAUCAUGUUUGCAGAGACUCAGGUUCUAAACGCCGUGCCAAUGGAAUGCUGGAAAUAAAGGCACCCGUUAGGAUAAUAUUUAACAAAGCAUUUUGACCUGGCACCAAGCUUCCAUUAAUGGAAUUAAGAAAGGUCUGCCAGUGUUCUGGGGAAGAUGAUUUCCCACAGUUCCCCUCCAAAAUGUUUUCAAAUAUGCAGAAGGGGAAAAAAAAAAGAGAGAGAUGAAUCAAGCAGAAUACCUCAUGGACAAUUUUUCUAAGCUGGGAUGAAUUAUGUUAGCUUCUGUUCCCUGAUCAUUCCCUUCCCCAUGAAAUGUAUGGAUAUUUCCAUUGCCCUAAUCAGCAGAGACAGUUUAAAAAUUGAUCUGGAAAAUCGGCAGUUGACCCUGUGAUCCUGCACUUUGUCGACACGUUCAAUCACAUCUGGUCUUGAACUGUAAAAUUGUUGGCCUGUUCCCCAGCACACUCCUCUGACAGCUGCAUGCAUUUUGUCCACAGAAUAACUCCUCUCCCAGAGCCUUCGGAAACCAGGACAACACAGCUUUCAUUGCUAGAUUCCCCUAACCACGAA